rnacentral:lncRNA from 1 species
GAGGGGAGCAGCGGAGACAGAGUCUCACGCACAGGUAUGCCCAGACACCCUGAACCCAGUUACUUAACCUCGUCAACCACUGUGGCAUCCGCGGGGUCCGUGGGCCCAUGGGUCUUCCGGGAGGGAUUCUGUGUCCCUGUUAUUGUGUGUCAAUAGGUGUUAGCCUGAUAUUUAUAUUUUUAAUGAGAGAAAACAAACUCCAGAAUUUGGGAACUGUUUUUCCGGUUUUGCUUUAUACCUCUUGGACACUCCUUCGAAGGACUGGAUCUGAGGGGCAUUGGGGUGCGACUACGGUGGACAAGGGAUGAUUAAUUUUCAUCCAAAAAUCUUUGGUGGAUUCCCCCGGCUCUCCAGCUCACCAGUCUAACAGUAGUUUAAAACAGAAGAUCAGCAACGUUUGGAGAGUUUUUUUUUCUUUGCGUUUUAAUGAUAAACUUGAUUUAUUCAAUUCUAUUCUGAGGUUGUCUUUCUAUAUUUUGAGUAUAAAACGAUGGCCAUACUAUGUUGGAACCACUAAGGUUCUUCUCUUCACUUGUUAUUCGUAAAGUCUCUUUGUAAUCUGAGAAUUUCCUGAGUAAACUGGGAACUGUUAUACAUAAUUCCUUGUUUUUGAGCAUUCUUUGUAAACAGGAAUCAGGAUUGGGGGUGGGGAGGGAGGGAGGAGUAGGAGUGCUGAUUUGUGUAACGGAAAAUCAUGGAUUACUUAUGUGAUGGAGCAAAGGUUUAAAAACUCUUAGCGUCCCCGGAUUUCCCCUUUUACUGUUUGCUGAAGAAAAUUCUGUCUUUGACUCCCUUCCUUACCCUCUCCUGGCCUGUGAGCUGCUUCCUCCCUAUUCAGUUUAUUUCCUCCUCCCCUCCCCGCCCCACUCCCCCACCCCCGCAGCCCCCUCCUCUUUUUCAGUGAAGCUGCUGGAGGAAAGUCGGGUUUGGGAGAAGACCCACACAGGCAAGGACAGCAGAACACUGACAUAUAGUUACACUCUUGUCGCCAGCACUGUCAUUAAGAUGUUGUGAAAAGACAAAGACAAAAGAGGAGAGGAAAGAAUAAUAUCUCCGUUUCAGGAGAUAUUCCACAAUAUUCCAGGAUGUUGUGCCUACUGUCCAGAGUCCUUGAUCCGAUGUAGUAAAGAGCUAGGGACAUUUUCACUGAAGGCUUUGAUUGCUGGCAAAAUCUCAUUAAAAGUGUAUACAUUGAUAGGUUGGCCACAGAAUGGCCAAAGAAGAGCCUCUGGCCUACAUCUGCCAAGAUAUAUGUGUAAGAAUACACUCUGCAGCAUUAUUUUUUAUUGUAAAAUAGCAGAACGAAUUUAUUAUUCAAUAAUUAUAAAAUGUUCAAAUGUAUGUGACUAUAUUCGGACAAUGAAAAAUGCAGCUGUUAAAAAUAGACAAUACUGAUGAUUCAGAUGAUGUUACUGAUGAAAAUAAUAACAGAUGACAAUUAUUGAGCAUUUAUGCAAUCUUACAUGCAUUACCUUAUUUAAAGUUCAGAACAACUAAGGAAAUGAGUAACUUGGGGCGGGCGUGAGAGGUUUGGAGGCACAAAAGGAAGAUAGGCAUUCAAGGGACACCAGGAUAGAAGAGCCACAGUAGAAGAGAGAGGAAGAGGAGUCCGCCAGGUGGGAUGCUGCAAGCCGCUGGAUAGCACGGCGGAGAUAGGGCGUUCCUGCCCCGCAAGCCUCCCUGCGACCGCAGGCCUCCGGCCGCCUUCUUCCAGGAAGACGCGCCCUGCUUUCUUCUGAUGUUGGUAGAGACGCUGCAAAGCGCAUCGUCCUCGAGCAUUUCUUCUCUCCCCAAGACCCUCCGAAGGAGCAUUUCUUCUCUCCCCAAGACCCUCCGAAGGAAGGAUGGGCGGACAGACUAAGUGGUCAAACGCGCAGAGCUCCAGCUUCCGCAGGAGCAUUUCCCGAGUGUCUUUCAUGGGUAAGAGUGGGCCCUGCAGGAUAAUGCCUCCCGUUCCCUGAGGAGCAGUGCGGGAGAUGCCCAUGUGGCCAGCUCCUGGGCCACGCGACCCAGGCCCUCCAGGAGGAGCGAGGAGUCCUGGGCCCUGAGCCAGCCCCCUGGACCGGCUGUGCCAAGAGAAGCAGCAAGGGAAGGGGUCCCCUCCUGCCUCAGGGUCUCUGUCCUCCUGGGGUUAAGAGACGUGCAUCCAACUCCCUCUCCAAGUGCUGGAGAGGAGGCUAGGUCUUUCCCACGGGCUGGGGGCCUUGCUGUCCCAAGGACGGCUGGGGAGGAGGAGGAGGCCGGUUGAGAUAUGUGAAGCAGCUCUGGCUACAGCGGGUAGGGAGAGGGCGCGCGGGACCCAGGAGCCUCCGUGCGGAGCCAGGCCUCAGGAGCAGCCGCCUUGUUCCUGGAAGGGGUGCCUCCCUCCAUCUUGUCUCCAAAGACUGUAGGGAGACCUUCUCGCCCGGUAGGAAAGCGACGUCUCCCAUGCUUUCCCACCACGCAGGCCUUGUGGCCUUUCUCCUGCUAGUGUCUGCCCUCCAACCUGCGGGGGCUGCGGCUGCCACGGUUCCACGCUGGGUGGACGCUGCCUGCCCGGGAUCCAAGAGCCGCCGUUGCAGGCGGGAGUUGGGGAGUCGUGUGCAGGUCCGAAGGAGACCCAAGCUCUUGGUCAAGGCUUUUUUGCUAUAGCCAAAUUCAGCGUGUAAAAGACAGAGAGCUCACAUCUGUCUGUUCGUAAGCUUCGGUGAGAACACCAAGGAAGCGCACUCAAGAUUCGUAGGAGGGCGGGAAGGGUCCCUGGCGGCGAUAUCCACAUCGGCGGUGAGCCAAGGCAUGUCAGGAGAGUGAGUGCGCGAACCCAGCCGCCGGAUAGCGCAAACACCACCGCGGACGAGGGCCCCGCAUGUGGAGAAAUCGCAGGGGUCAGCGGAGCCGAAGUGUGGUGGACUAGCCUCCUCCAGGGAGAACCCCCUUCCUGACCACUGUAUGUCCCCCGCCACAUAAGGGGAGAGGAGGGACAGCACAGCCUACUCUCCCCUGGCCGACGAUCAGGGUCACCACCUUCUCCUCUGCUCUCCCCUCGCCAUUCUUCCAAACCACCCUCCGCCAAAGAUUCCACGGACAGUCACCCUCCCAACAACCCAGGCCUCCUUUCAGCAGCGGCUCCCGCCCCACAGCCACCGCGCCCUCUCACCCCCGCGGUUCUGCCCGCCGCCUCUGCCGAGUCUGUGCACUUCACCUCCCUGGGUCCCGCUCCCCCCUGAGCUUACAGUGGACGAGGGGCAGGACGGGGGGAAGGCCAUUCGGCUGCCCUUCUAGCUUCAGAAUCACCCAGUGAACGGGUUUCAACCGUAGCCGGCAAGAUGCGCCUCUCCGGUUUUCCGAGGCUUUGGAACCUGCACAAUUGUUCUGCAAAAGACGGUGGCUCCGCCUAGCAUUGGAUGGGCGCUUGCUCUGCAUGGUGAUGCCGGAGCGAGGGUCGACUGUCCGUAUGUCGCAGUCGGGUGGUGUGCUUGCUUCCAAGUCUGGAGUUGGCUGGUUCAAGCUCGUUCUACUGAGCGUUUCUUGCAUUUUAAAAAUGCUUAAACCGCUGGCAACUUUCUUCUACCCAGCACAUUCUCUCAUGGAAUGGCAGAGCAAGACCAACUUUACCCGCCUCUCCUCCGUGUCUCCCAUACGACAUGAGGACGUAAAUCAAGAUCUGGAUUUUCAUCUGGUAUUGGAUUCCUUCUGCCCGGAAGACUCCUUUGACGUUUCUGUAGUGUGGGUCAGCUGGUAGUGAAUUCGGUCAGCUUAUGAACUCAAAAGAGGUGUAGGAGGAGAGAAGCUCAAUUAUCACCCUGGUCUCCUGGAGUAUCCCAGGCACAGUCCCAAGAGUUCAGCUUUUCAUACUCGAGUUCCUGGGUCCUGAAGGCCUUUUUGGGGAAAGUACUGAUGUUCGUGUCAAGGUUGGGAAGAAAGGGUUUGGGAGGAACCAAGCAACAGGGAGGCAAAGAGAAGACAUCAACAAGCGAGGCAAGAACUUUCCACAGGCUCACACUGGAUACAGGACCAGAGACAAGAAGCUGGCGAAGCCUAUAUGGGUUCCCGAUGUCACAUCGCAGCUACCGCAUUGGAGGGUUAAGAGCCGCUGACAAAUCUCUUUCGGGAAGGGGCUGUUUCCCUCCCUGUUUUCCUCAGAAGAAGAGUUCCAAACAAAAGAUCUACUACCCUGAGAAGCGGUGAAGUGCUCCUGGGGCCCACCAAGGCCACACAAGUCAAGGAGUGGAUGGCCUUGCCCCAGCUAUGGCUCAGAUCACCUUUGCAGGAUGACAUCUUGUUGGGAGAUGGUCAUCAGAGACAGGGCCAUGGAAGACGCUGUCAGGAGGAGGCACAGAGGAAAGGCUAUGGGAGCACAAAGCAAGAAAGUGGCCUUCUGCAAGCCAGGAAGAGAGGCCUCCCCAGAAACCAACUCUACCAGCACAUUGAUCUUGGACUUUUGGCCUCUAGAACAUUGAGAAAAUAAAAGUCUGCUGUUAAACCACCCAACCUUUGGUAUCUUUCUAUGGCAGCCUGAGCUGACUAACACCCUUGGUAGGUGGGCAGCAUUCACCUUAUUGGGCUACAUGAUGAGAAGUUAAAGUAACUUUAGCAAUAGGCACCAUUUGAUUUCAUUGUAUAGAUAUUGUGUCUUUUGCACUGAUUUUGCCUUUUUUAGUUGUGUGUAUAUUGAUGCCUGGGCCUAGCAUUACAAGACUAGUCGAAAUGGGAAGAAAGAAAAGAAAGUGGGAAAGAUACCAAGUUCCAUAAUUGCAUCCUCUACCCACAUCCAGUUCUUAGAAUCUUUUCCAAUGGAGACUGCACCUUGUGUACACUCAAAUUCAAUCUGAGCGCACAAUCAUUUAGACAACCAAGGCAACUUUUCCAAUUUUCAGCAUCACACGCUUGGGAAAACAAGUAUUUCAAUCACUAAUUUAAAUAUUCAUUGAGGUAAUUAUUCUGAGGUUGAUGAAAAAUAUGGUGUAUCCAUGUACUGUUGCCUUCUCCUGGGUCAAGAAUGUUGUCUUUACUCUGCUGGCUCACAUUUGACCAGAAAUUGGAGUCCCAGCAAAUCUUACUAGCCACUCAGGAAGCCUAUUUUAAGAUAGUCCCAAUCUCAAACUUGUUCUAAGACUUGUAUGCUGACUGAGGAGAAAGAGCCUCAUGACAAAAAUUCAACUAGAGCUGUGGGUGACAGUUGUGUGUCUCACUACUGGUCUGGGCCCAGGUUUCCCGUGAGCACCUAAUGAAUAGACUCAAUUGCAGGGAUCGUCAAGAUGCUCACUAUGUCUACCUCAUAGCCUCAAAAGAAGUGAUAACUAACAGAAUUUGUGUAGUAUCCUGAAGGGAAAUUAAUCCAGAUAUAGAGGAAAAGAUAAGGAUUUUUUAAAACAGACAUGUGAUUCAACAGUUGUUUAAGAUGCAGAAAGCUGUAAGAGACAGUUGUUCCCACUCUAAUGACAAGAAAAAGCUGUAUGGUCUGCAAAAUCAUACGUGCUUUGAUCCCACCAGAGAGCUGAAGUUGCAAGGCCCCUGAGUCAGCUGAAGUCCAAAGCGUGAGAAAACCCCCUAUAGAAGGACAAACACAUGAAGCAGUUCAUCUUUGACAGAUAAUGGAAGGAAAAGAUGGCAGCCAUAAAUGUUCAUUGGAGAAAAUCACUGAAGAUUUCAUCAUUUCUUAAAGGCCAAGUGUGAACUAUUGUGACAGAUUAGAAACUCUGAGAGUCCCAGAUACAUAGCAUGGUUUUGCCCAUUUGCUGGGUCCUUCCUCCCACGUCCUUAGUGCUGACAAGACACAUGUAACAGGGAAAGAGGAUUUCUCAAGCUUGCCACAGUGGCGUAGGCAUAAAAGUCAUGAUCACAUGAUCGACCACCACCAGAGUACAGGCACAAAACCUGGUUGCUUCUCACAUAAAACAAAAGGCAUCUACCACUGAUGUUGGAGCUAGGAACUCGUCCAACCCUUGGCCCCAGGGAUAGGGCAACUGCUGAGGUAGGGUUAGACAGAAAAACUGUCUGUAUUGGACAAGGGGAGGAGACUUGCUCUUGCCCAAGACUUCCCAUCAUUGAAAGGUAGUGUUCCGCUACCCCAAGGGGAUGUCACAGGAACACUAGGACCCAGGUAUCCAUGGCCUGAGGCUUGAUACACAUUCAGUGCAAUCAGUAAUGUGAGUUGGUUUCGACCAAUCAUUUGAGUUGGUUGCAGACCCUUUCCUCUAAUGAGGAAAAACUGUGGUGUGGGUACAAAGUUUCCACGUUCAGAAAGAUUGGCCUUGUCCUUACAGAUAUUAUAUUGAUUGGAUUUCUCUCAACCUCCUUAAGUUAUGUUUACCAUUAUUAAAAUUAAGUGACAUUCACUUGGAAGAAGUGGUAAUACAAACAGGUUGUGAGAAUUUAUAGUGAUUUUUGAUCCCAAGCCUUGUAUCACUGUUGGGUCUUCAUGUGUGUACUUGAAAACAAAACAUGUACAAUUGUUGCACUGGUUUGAAGAUUUUAAUGGUGGAAGUGACCUAAUCAGUAAUCAGUACUGUAUCUAGAAACGAAUCUUGGAAAUAUGUGAUUAUGCUCUUUUAAAAUCGCUGAAAAGAAGGCUGGGUGUGGUGGCUCAUUCCUAUAAUUCCACACUUUGAGAGGCUGA